rnacentral:rRNA from 1 species
UACGAAGGGGGCGAGCGUUGUUCGGAAUUACUGGGCGUAAAGGGCGCGCAGGCGGCUCUGAAAGUCAGAUGUGAAAGCCCCGGGCUUAACCUGGGAAUUGCAUUUGAUACUCUGGAGCUUGAGUACGGGAGAGGAGAGUGGAAUUCCCAGUGUAGAGGUGAAAUUCGUAGAUAUUGGGAAGAACACCGGUGGCGAAGGCGGCUCUCUGGACCGUAACUGACGCUGAGGCGCGAAAGCGUGGGGAGCAAACCGG